rnacentral:lncRNA from 1 species
GGGCCUCUCUCCCCGGCACCCCGCCGCCUGCGCGCCCUGGGCUCCCCCUCCCCGGACCGUCCUCCAGGGGCCACCUCGAGCCCGCGCGGUCACAGAAGGGAGAGAAGACCCGGGAGUGAAGGGCUCCCCCCACCCCCAACACGGAAAUCGGGCCGGGAAAGAGCCGAUCCCUGGAGUGCCCACCCGAGCAGGUCGGGCCGGAGACGCGGCGGGCGGCUGAAGGGAAGGCUGGUGCCCCCCCCACCCCCCCGCCGACUCGUGCUGCACCUGGGAGCGAGUCUGGAGCGCCCCGGCUCUGAAGUCUAGGGGCUGCGGUCCUGCUGAGCCGAUGGGGGCCGGCGGGCCCACCCCGAACCGCCCUGCGUAGGUUUCGGGACCGCAGGUCAGGGAGUCCGCACAACCCCGCCGCCCCGCGAGUUCAAGCCCAGAUAGUCUCAGGACUGUGUGUGGGACACGAGAGUGAACUUUUUCGGGGUGAUUCUGACCUCUGCCCCCCAACUCAGCCACGGACACGGGGCUUUUUACCCUCCCUCCUGCCUCUCCGUCUGGAAACACAGGUGCCAUUCGGUUCUGGCGACCUCAAACCGUUUGUGAUGGAGUUUGGUUAAAGUGGACACAUGGCUGGAUCACACACACGUCUACACAGCCUCUCCAUCCGGAGUCUGGGAGGAAAAGCGCUUUGUUGGCCGAGAGUGCGCAGGGGCCUGGGCUCUCCUCUGGCUUCCCUCCUCUGGUCCACCGCUGGGUUGGAGAACCCCUUCUUCUGUUGGGAGGGAGGUGUGGACGCGCACGACUUGUGUAUGGACAAGUGCAAAGCUGGAGGAGUGAGAAAACUUUAAUCCUACGGAGGCCGGAGCUCGCAGGUCUGCUCUUCCGCCAAGGGAUGAGCCGGGAUUCCCUGCAGAAGGAGCUGAGCCCUCUCCGGCCGGAGACCACUCCGCUGGCGGAAGCUUGGUUCCCUAAUUCCUUUUACCAGGUGCAGCCCUGACUCUCCGAGCUCCACCCUCCCCUGCCCCAGUGUUUGCCCGCAGCCCCAACCGCAGGGAGCUGAUUUACUAGGGAUUCCGAUGGAUGCUCUCUUUUGGCUGGCACCCCAACUUUUCACUCAAGCACCACGAGACUGGAGGGUGAAGGUGACCAGGACUCAGAGCUGGAGGCUUCUGUACAGAACCUGCAUGACAACCCUUCAAGGUCCCUGUUGGAUGUGACAGCACCGUGUGGGUGUGUCAGAGCUGAACUCUUGUCUUCGGCCCCCGUGUCU